UAUCAUUCGAGACUGUCUCAUGUGCUCGCAAAAAAUUAUUCUGACGUCACGGAGCGGACGGAUUAUCAUCGAAAACACUGUUAACCUAUAUAGGUAGAUGAACCCGACCUUUGCAGCUUCACUACGGCCACGGCCAAGGCUCCAUUGCCAUUAUUCUGUUUAUUAAGCCACCUAUCGAAAGUUGUUUAUAGCCUGCACCGCUUUCAUAUUCACCUCUUCUUGGAGCGGACUAAAGGGAGAAUUGGAUCAAAUCACUUUCAUCAAAGAAAUCGUCACUUUCAUCGACCUUGAAUAUGGACUAUAAACUCUGCGUCUGUCUGAGCCUCCUACUAUUUAUCUUAAUAACAACAAGUUGUGUUGGCGGAAAAGAAGUGUCAAAAGACUGGGAUUUUUUCAGCGCCGAUAAGUGCAAUAAAGGUUGCGAUAAUUUUUGUAGCGACGAAGCUUUGAGACGAAGCGGCUAUCGCGUUAAUUAUAAUUGCAAUGACACUGUUUGUUUUUGUAGGUUCACGUGUAAAACGUGUCCAUAGAUAUUCGUGGCGAAUAAAGAAAGUUGCUUAUUUUUCUCACGAUUGAGCUCUUGAGCUUUAUUGAAAAUAGAAUAUGAAUUUCAAAUUUUAUACUCAAUAAAUUUGUUCAAUAUCACGA